rnacentral:lncRNA from 1 species
CUGGGUGACAGAGCGAAACUCUGUCUCAAAAAAUCAUAUGUUGAAUCCUAAUCCCUAGCACCUCAAAAUGUGACUGUAUUUGGAGUUAAGGCUUUUAAAGAGGUAAAUUCAUAUGGGAGUGCCUAAUCCAAUAUGACCAGAGUCUUUAUAAGAAGAGGAGAUUAGGACCCAGGCACACACAGAGAGAAGACUGCAUGAAGACACAAGGAGAAGAUGGCAUCGUUUAAGCCACCUGGCCUGUGGAUUACGGCAACCUGAAAAAAUGAAUAUAGAUUCUGAAGAGCAGGAGACAGAGACAGGAAGACAGCAGCCACAAAGGCUCAGGGAGGUCCACAUUUCAGGUAGGG